rnacentral:rRNA from 1 species
UACGGAGGGUGCAAGCAUUAAUCGGAAUUAUUGGGCGUAAAGGGCGCGUAGGCGGAAGUAUAAGUCAGAUGUGAAAUUCCGAGGCUCAACUUCGGAACUGCAUUUGAAACUAUACAUCUAGAGGAUUGGCGGAGAAAACGGAAUUCCACGUGUAGCGGUGAAAUGCGUAGAUAUGUGGAAGAACACCGGUGGCGAAAGCGGUUUUCUAGCUAAUUCCUGACGCUGAGGCGCGAGAGCAAGGGGAGCAAACAGG